AUCCAGCUGACGAGUCCCAAAUAGGAAGAAACGCGCACAUCCUGUAU
rfam:Schistosoma mansoni, Puerto Rico, WGS project CABG01000000 data, contig: 0302